UUUCCCUUAUUACCAUUAACAUGUUCAACCUGGAAGAUAAAUAAUAAUGAAGUGAAAUACUAACUGUGUUUUCUUCAACAACACUGACUUACAGAGUUUUAUUGAAUUAUGAUAAAUGUUUAUAGGUGAUCAUGUUACUAUUGCAUCAGAAACAUCUAAACCAGCUCUGUGUGAUAAUUCAGUGGUGUGUGAACCAACACUGCAUGGAAACAGCACUAACAUGAACACACACGAGAAAACAGGUGAUAUGUCUUAUAAUUCAGAAUUCAAUAUUAAUUAUCCAUAAUUCAUCAAGCAAAAUGUUCCUAGAAAAUAAUUUGCACUAAUGUAAAUGUAAUGUUAUCAGUAACAGAACCGGAAAUGAUCAGAUCUCUACACUCGGCAGUGCUCGGUUUGGGAACGGCUUUGGGUUUGUGCGCACUUCUGAUUUUCUGUCUCAUUUAUUUCAUACUCAGGAGAAGAAAAUGUGAUAAAAUGAAAGCUUGUAUAGAAGAUUCUCCAGGAAUGAAGCAGGAAUCUGAAUCUGAAACACUGAAUUACGCAGCUGUGCAAUUUACCAAGAGGAAAGCCAAAGCUGAAAAAAAGAAAACUGGCUCAGCAGAUGAGUGUGUGUACGCUGAUGUGAAAAAAAACUGUAAGAUGUAACAGAAAUAAUUCAUAACACAUGAUACUAUUACACUGCAACAACAUUGAAAAUAUAUUGACUAAACAAAUAUAUUCCAUAUUUUUCAUUACAAUGAUAUGACAUAUGAUGCGCUAACAAAAAAAAAAACAAUACAAAACAAAACAGAAAAACCUAGAAAUAAUUUUAUAUUUGUUUACACUAAUCUCAUAAUAAUAAUUAUAUUAAAGUCGCCUGUCUUUAAGAUAUUGUUUUAUUUGCAGUGUGGAUAAACUCCUAUGCUACAGGUUUUAUUUCUGUAACUACGGAUGUAUUAACUUCAGUAACAAUGAACUUGUAAAAAAUCCAACUUGUAUGUUUUUUGUUUGUUUUUGGUUUCAGUAAUUUAUUUUUUCACAAUAAAUAUGAAAAGCAAUUCCAUU